ensembl:lncRNA
UUGAAAAUGAAGUACUUCUUGGCAUCGCACAGUGGAAGCUCUUUUCCUAAGCCAGCCUUUUACUCUGUUACUUGUGCGUGGUCGAUAAUACAAACACGAUUGCUGCAUGACAGAAGUGAUGUUUUAGUGCACGUAUAUUGCCAUUUCAUCACAAGGAAAGUUGUCUAUCAGAAGAUAAAGCACACCAUUUCACAGAGAUUAUGUUAAAUACUGUGUCAAAUAUUUAUAUUGUCCCACAUCAUUUGAAUUCCAGUGGGAUUACAAUGACUGCUCUUGUGCUUUUAUGCAGCAGACCGACAUUCUGGGACUUGCAUGUAUUUGUUGUUAAACAAGCCGGGCUAUGAACAGUGAAACUAAUAAGAUCUGGCAUCUUACUGGUUUGCUUUCUACUUUUCAUAGUGGCCAUCUUACUCCCAGGCCUGUCUUCUGUCGGCAUUUCUCACCGUGGUCUCUGCAUCCCAGCCAGGCUGUUCCCAUUUGGUUGGGCAGGGACCUCACCCAGCAGGCCUCAACGUACAGCACCUGCAGCUCUUGUGAUUAGUAUGCCGUCUGUCUUCAUUUCAUUGCUACAUUAGUCUGAUGGGAUGCAUAGAAACUGUGCUAGACUGCUUGAUGAAGAUUCAUUUAUCGGAGUUUAUGCUAUUUUGCUUGUUCAGCAUCCCAGGGGGAGAUUCAAAACCUGGAAAAAAAAAGCCAUCAGCUUUCGGAAAUCAGGCAUUGAAAUACAGCUUGCUGCUGUUGCUGGCAGGGCUGGACUGGCUGGCUUUCUGGAUGACCCACAUUUGGAUUCUUGUUCUUCAACACACAGUGGCUUUCACAGAUGUCAGUGCUGGCUACCUACUGUGGAGAAAUUAAACCUCUGCACGUUAGCCAAUGUACAAACUGUUCCCUCUCUUUAACAUCACUUCACCUUCCAGUGUAGGAAGGCUCAGAGGCACACACUGGGGUACUUAGUCACAUUUUCCCAUAUGCACCUUUAGAUUUAGCUGUCAUUUUGUACAGGAGAUAGGUUUAAGUCUAAAAUAUCUCUUCUGAUUAGAACAACCCUGCACUGGUAGAUCAGACCGAUAUUUUCAAUGGGCUUGACUCCUGUCUGCAGUAAGGUCCUGGACUUCCAUUUGCAUCAAAGUCCUAUUCUUGCAGGAUGUUUCCUGGAGCUGAGUCUGUAUCAGUCUUGGCUGUCACUCCAGUUGCUUGGUCUGUUAAAAAGAUGGAAAAACAAUAUAUCCAACCUUGUUAAGCACAGGAAUUUUCCACUGUCUUCCUCCCACCACUGCCAUAGAGGGAGUUUCUGAGUGAGAGGGGACUUGUUCCAAGCAUUUUAUGGCCCAGUGAUGACCUCUUCCUAAAAUAGCACCUGAAGAUCAUUAGCUUCUGGAACAAGAUAAUGAGCUCCUACUCUCCCACCCACAUACCCCUGCGUGUAUGUCCUGGGGAGUGUGGGCACCCCCAGCUCACUGUCAGGCAGUGAGUGGUGUGUGAAAGGAGCUCUGUGGCACUCAGGAUAUGUUUUGCUGCCAACAUAUGACCUUGUAUCCCUGUUCCUCACCUUAUUGCCCACAGGCGGAACUGUUGAAUAUAUGAGGUGAGGAACAGAGGUUUACAUGCGUUGGCAGUGAGAUUAUUAGUUAAUUCACUCCUGUUUUCACUUCAUCCCCUGGCUGAAAACAAAGAUUUCUGAAAUGCCUUCUUCCAGCAAGUAGCAGAGAGAAGACAAGUUCUAUGGAAGGUACAUAGCUGGAUGUGUUUUUUUCCACCAAAAACAUGCACGGCCUUACUUUGUUAAAUGUUUACCAUCUUUGGCGCUUGCCUUUCAGUCCCAGAAAACUCUUGUUUUUCUUCUCCCAAGCAGUAAGAUUCCCCGUACAGGGUGAGGAGGCACUCCGAUCACCAGGCAGA